GGCGGAUAUAGCUCAGUUGGUUAGAGUGUCAAUCUGUGACUUUGAAUGUCAAGGGUUCAAUUCCCUUUAUUCGCC
rnacentral:tRNA from 1 species